rfam:Schistosoma mansoni, Puerto Rico, WGS project CABG01000000 data, contig: 0163
AGCCUUCUGUAUUCUGCUGAGAUUUUGACACACUCGACAGAACAAAAGGGCUGAUGAGACUCCCAAGAUAUGUGAGGCU